UACGGAGGGGGCUAGCGUUGUUCGGAAUUACUGGGCGUAAAGCGCACGUAGGCGGCUUUGUAAGUUAGAGGUGAAAGCCCGGAGCUCAACUCCGGAAUUGCCUUUAAGACUGCAUCGCUAGAAUUGUGGAGAGGUAAGUGGAAUUCCGAGUGUAGAGGUGGAAUUCGUAGAUAUUCGGAAGAACACCAGUGGCGAAGGCGACCUACUGGACACAUAUUGACGCUGAGGUGCGAAAGCGUGGGGAGCAAACAGG
rnacentral:rRNA from 1 species